AAUAAUGGACAAAAAAACCAGAAUAAAGGACAGAUUAAAUAGAAAAUUAAGGGGUGUUUAAAAUAAGCACAACAAAAUGACAUAAUAUAGAAUAACGGGCAAAAGUAACAGAUUAAAGGGCAAAACAAAACAAAAAGAAAAGAACAAAAUAAGCAUAGCAACAAAUAUAGAAUAAUGGACAAAAGCCUUUUAGAUACAGAAUAAAGGACAAAAAAAAUUUGAGAAUAAAAAAUUAAGUAAAACAAAACUUUAUGGAUAGACAAAAUUUGCAAAAUAAAACAAGAACAGAGAAAAAAAUGUGAG
rnacentral:lncRNA from 1 species